CAAGUCGAACGGCAGCACGGGGGCAACCCUGGCGGCGAGUGGCGAACGGGUGAGUAAUACAUCGGAACGUGUCCUGGAGUGGGGGAUAGCCCGGCGAAAGCCGGAUUAAUACCGCAUACGCUCUGAGGAGGAAAGCGGGGGAUCUUCGGACCUCGCGCUCAAGGGGCGGCCGAUGGCAGAUUAGCUAGUUGGUGGGGUAAAGGCCUACCAAGGCGACGAUCUGUAGCUGGUCUGAGAGGACGACCAGCCACACUGGGACUGAGACACGGCCCAGACUCCUACGGGAGGCAGCAGUGGGGAAUUUUGGACAAUGGGGGCAACCCUGAUCCAGCAAUGCCGCGUGUGUGAAGAAGGCCUUCGGGUUGUAAAGCACUUUUGUCCGGAAAGAAAACCUCCGUCCUAAUACGGUGGGGGGAUGACGGUACCGGAAGAAUAAGCACCGGCUAACUACGUGCCAGCAGCCGCGGUAAUACGUAGGGUGCAAGCGUUAAUCGGAAUUACUGGGCGUAAAGCGUGCGCAGGCGGUUCGCUAAGACCGAUGUGAAAUCCCCGGGCUUAACCUGGGAACUGCAUUGGUGACUGGCGGGCUAGAGUAUGGCAGAGGGGGGUAGAAUUCCACGUGUAGCAGUGAAAUGCGUAGAGAUGUGGAGGAAUACCGAUGGCGAAAGCAGCCCCCUGGGCCAAUACUGACGCUCAUGCACGAAAGCGUGGGGGAGCAAACAGGGAUUAGAUACCCUGGUAGUCCACGCCCUAAACGAUGUCAACUAGUUGUCGGGUCUUCAUUGACUUGGUAACGAAACUAACGCGUGAAGUUGACCGCCUGGGGAGUACGGUCGCAAGAUUAAAACU
rnacentral:rRNA from 1 species